AGUGAACGCUGGCGGUAGGCCUAACACAUGCAAGUCGAACGGCAGCACAGUAAUAGCUUGCUCUUACGGGUGGCGAGUGGCGGACGGGUGAGGAAUACAUCUGAAUCUACUUUUUCGUGGGGGAUAACGUAGGGAAACUUACGCUAAUACCUCAUACGACCUACGGGUGAAAGCAGGGGAUCUUCGGACCUUGCGCGAUUGAAUGAGCCGAUGUCGGAUUAGCUAGUUGGCGGGGUAAAGGCCCACCAAGGCGACGAUCCGUAGCUGGUCUGAGAGGAUGAUCAGCCACACUGGAACUGAGACACGGUCCAGACUCCUACGGGAGGCAGCAGUGGGGAAUAUUGGACAAUGGGCGCAAGCCUGAUCCAGCCAUACCGCGUGGGUGAAGAAGGCCUUCGGGUUGUAAAGCCCUUUUGUUGGGAAAGAAAAGCAGCAGGUUAAUACCCCGCGGUUCUGACGGUACCCAAAGAAUAAGCACCGGCUAACUUCGUG
rnacentral:rRNA from 1 species